ACACACACCUCUAAAUAGAAGAAGAUAUAGACAAAGCAGAAGAGGGAAGCCAGGUGCUAGCUGGGGGCUUUGAGCCUGGCUGUCACAGAGGCCAAUGACACAAACCCAGUCCACUUCCCAGUUUUAUUCAAAGACAGUUUGCUUAAAGUUGUAUGAAAUUUUCUAUCCCAUGAAUUUUUGUAUAGUGCUGAUUCAAACCCAUAUGCAUGUGUGUUCCCAGCAGUACAGGGGAAAGCAGCAUUGACACAAAAGGGGGCUGGGAGUGCCUAGGGGUUAGAAUGGCAGCUUGAAGAACCUGGAGUUAGAAGGAAGCCAUGCAGAACUGCAGAUGCCAAGCAGAUAAACAUGAUAUAGCCGUGAGCCUGCAAGGCCAAGGAAGCAAGAAAUCAACAGCAGUAUCAACACUGUUGUCAGCAGGUGCCCGGCUUUGCCAUAUCUCAUGCGGCUCCAACCUUAUCAUCUUAUGACAUGUCCUUAAACGUUCUCCCAGCGAACAGAAUCUGAUGCGCAGGAAGGUUCAUCUGUUAACCCAGCAGUAAGAAGAAAUGUGACACAGGUCUACCCAGCUUUCAAGCUUUGAUCCUGAGAGUCCUUCUGGAUCCCCAGCGGGUCCAGUGAGGGAAGGGAAGCAGCCUGCCAGGCCGUAGGCUAAAACCCUCGCAUCUAGAACAGGUUCACGUCCUGCUUACCCCUCCCUAGUCCAGCAACUGGUGACGUCUUUUAAGUGGUUUCUUAUGGAGUUGAAUGUUUUGCCAGCAUGUGUGUUGGUGAAGCACAUGCGUGCAAAGCCAGCAGAGACCAGAAAAGGGUAUCAUGUCCCCUAGAAUGGGAGUGACAGGCAGUUGUGCACAACUCUGUGGGUGCUAGGAAUUGAACCCAGGUCCUCUGAAAGUGCAGUCAGUAUUCUUAAUGGCUGAAUCAUCUCUCCGGCCUUUGAUGGCUUUUCUAAAAGCCAAUUUUCACACACACAAACU
rnacentral:lncRNA from 1 species